rnacentral:rRNA from 1 species
GAUGAACGCUGGCGGCGUGCCUAAUACAUGCAAGUCGAGCGAACGGACGAGAAGCUUGCUUCUCUGAUGUUAGCGGCGGACGGGUGAGUAACACGUGGAUAACCUACCUAUAAGACUGGGAUAACUUCGGGAAACCGGAGCUAAUACCGGAUAAUAUUUUGAACCGCAUGGUUCAAAAGUGAAAGACGGUCUUGCUGUCACUUAUAGAUGGAUCCGCGCUGCAUUAGCUAGUUGGUAAGGUAACGGCUUACCAAGGCAACGAUGCAUAGCCGGCCUGAGAGGGUGAUCGGCCACACUGGAACUGAGACACGGUCCAGACUCCUACGGGAGGCAGCAGUAGGGAAUCUUCCGCAAUGGGCGAAAGCCUGACGGAGCAACGCCGCGUGAGUGAUGAAGGUCUUCGGAUCGUAAAACUCUGUUAUUAGGGAAGAACAUAUGUGUAAGUAACUGUACACAUCUUGACGGUACCUAAUCAGAAAGCCACGGCUAACUACGUG